ACUAGAGCCAAAACUAUCUCAAAAGUUUAGGGCAUUAGUUUUUCUCCUUUUUGAUAAUAUUCAAUGAGAAAUGACACUUAGAAUAUAACCUUUUCCAUGGAUAAGGAUUAGUAAUAUCCAC
rfam:Vicugna pacos cont1.275134, whole genome shotgun sequence.